GGAGGGUAAGCGAAUGGCUAGCGGUCUGUUUGGAAUACAGAUGCCCCGCAAGGGGUUGCGAGUUCGAAUCUCGUGCCCUCCG
rnacentral:tRNA from 1 species